AGAACAUUCGGGUGAUAUUUCUGAACGCAAUUUUGAAUAAAAGUGUUCAAUUCGUUUCACAAAUUGAAACAAGUGUUGAAAGAAUAAAUUGUUGAUAUCAUUUCAUUUGCUGUUUAGUGUAUUAAUAUAUUUAACAAUCUGAAUUAUUGGAAAUAAAAGCUGAUCUGUGAAUAAAGGCAUUAAUAAGGGUGUUGUAGAUACAUACAGUGCAAUAUGUGAGUUGCAUACCCAGACACUGCCAGGGGUUGGCAGUGGCAAGCGCGGUUCAGUAGGUAAUGAUUGCAUGCACAUACAAUAUGGACAAAACUUAUCGAUCAAGUGGAUCACGUGCAUUUUUCCAAUUAGGCUUGCAGCGUAUCAAUUACGCACAAUUAUUUCUAAAUUAUAAUGAAGAAAUACUAUUGUAUGAAACAUUACACAUUCAACAUGGUAACAUUUUAUAGUAUCAUUACGCCGAAGAAAAUCCCCAUUGUCGAAAAGAGACACACGUCCAAGGUCAUUAUAGCAUUAAUGUUUAGAUGGGGAUUCUGGAUAAUGCUAUAAUCGGGCCGCAUUUUUUCGAAGAAAAUGUUGAUAUUACUGCAGAAAUUUAUGCAGCAUUUUUUGCAGAAACUUUGCUAAAUUUAUUGGAAAAUAUUCCGCGAGAACAAUUAAAUAUUCUGCAAGAUCAGAUUAUCUUGUAAUAAGACAGCCAUCCAUCCCACACAUCACUUUUGGCACGAGGAGUGUUAAAUCAAAGAUUUUCACGUAGAUUGAUAGGAAUCCACAGUGAUUUUCACGAGUGUCCACCGCGAUCGUCUAAUCUGACACCUAUGGUGGAUUUCUUUGUGUGGGAAUUCAUACGAUAUCAGGUGUAUCAAACGUUACCACGCACUGAUGAAUAAAUUUAGAGCGGUUAUCCAAAAUAUAACGCCAGUGAUGUUAAGCAAUGUGCGGCAAAGGGUAAUGUGAAAAGUUGCAUUAUGCUUAGAAGAAAGUGGUGGUUACUUUGAACACAUGUUAUAAAAAUUAAAUAAAUAGUUUUUAUACAAAUUUUAAAA
rnacentral:lncRNA from 13 species